rnacentral:miRNA from 1 species
UUCUGGUGCUGGUUGUUCGAU